AAUUAACUUACUGAUCUCGCCAGGGAUCCAUUUGGGAAGAUGUGCCUUCCCUAACAGCAGCCCAAGACGUCGUAAUCCGCACUAACUGCCUUGUCCCACUGUCCCAGCAUUAAACAGCUCCAGCAGCUGCGAUGGUGGACAGUUAAGAUUAUAUAUGAUGUAAAUAUAUUGUGGGUAUGUCAGCUCCCCCAAACCAUAAAACUUAGUUUAAUGACAUCACGUGCUCACCGAGAGCCAUUCAGGGCUUUUGCUUUGGGCUAUCCACAUAAAUAACCUUCAAAAGUUUUAAACUACUAAAUUCACUUAGAAGCCAUGGGUAUUUCUGCUAAUGUUCUCAGGGAUAGUCAAAGUCUUGGCUCAAAAAGUCCUGGAUUAUUAUUACUAUUGUUAUUAUUUUUCAUCCUCUCUUUUAAAGCACACACACGCACACACGCACUGGAACUUUGGGUCUGUCAUUUUUUUCCCCUUCCCUCGCCCUCCCUUUCUUGUUUGGAGGCCUUUUAAAAGUCCCCACUGUGUUGACACGGAUGACAGUGAAAGGAUGAAGAGGCAAAUUGGUCUUGGAUCUGUGUAGAUGGAGCGUAUGUGUUUCUCGUGCAACGCAUGCAUUUCAAAAAUAUCUUGGUGGAGCCCCCGCUUUCCAGCACUGGAAACCUUCCGGCCUCCUAUAAACGGAACUUCACGUUGGUCAAUCAUUUUCAAGUAACUACGUUGCUUCUGUAUCUGUCCGCACCCCACGCCCCGCACCGCCACUAUAGUUCUAUAAGUUAAGUCUUGGCCAAUUAAAGAGUCCCACCCCCCUCUGAAUCAGCAAAGGUCCAAGGUAACGGGGUUGGGAGGCAGCGGCGGAAACUGACAGCUUGUCCAACUUAGAAGUUAUUUCGAAUUUUCCUUUUCUUUAUCCCUGUUUAUUCCCUGUAAUAUUCAAUGGGAUUUUUCAAACUAUAUGAUGUGUCCCUAUGCUGACAGUACAGGAGGUAAAGAUAUUAUUGGGUGAUUGGGCCAAUUAAGAGUCUCUCCCCCCCCCUCCCUCCCCGAGUUUUCUUCUCCGCUUGCUACUGUGUAAUGUCUAUUACGGUCGGAUAGCCCUGCAAACUUCACCAAAGGAUGUUCAGUUUAGAGAACUUUUAUGGUUGACUUGGAUUACUCCGUUUUAUGGCACGAAAAUGUUCCCUACAAUGACCCCCCUCCCUCCUUCCUUUUUGACAUUCAAGAGAGUUGCGGUCGUGACGUCACGUCGAGUUGUCAUGGAGAAUAGCUACCGGCUUAAAAAUUAUAAAGCGUGAUAUUAUAGAGCAACAUAAAAUAUGGAUAUAAGCAACUACUUACGCCCGCGAAGAGAUUAAACAAAGAAGGAUACGAUUUUAAUACGUUCAGGAAGAAUAAUUCAAUGAUGAGGAAUGGUUGUCAUUAUCUAUGAGUUCUUAUUUCAUUUUAUUGUUUGCACAUGGGGGUGGGGGAGAAGGAAAAAUUAAUCUCAGGACGCCAGGAAGAAGAAGAACAAGAAGGGGGAGAAGAAAAUAAAAUAAAAAAUAAGUCAGGACACAGUAUUAGUUGCCUUAAUGGUGUGUGUGUGUCUUUAAAAAGCCGAUCGCUUACUAUUAAGCUACAUAUUUGGAGAGGCAAUAUUUGUUGCACUUUGGGAAAUGCAAUCCAUUUGCGUAACUUUUAAUGGUGCGACAGUUUAGUAUUUUUGGGUCUGCUUAAAUACACUCAUUUUCUCUCUCUUCUCUCCCCCCCCCCAGGAGUGGGGGCGGGAGUGGCGUCCUCCAGCUGACGGGCCUUAUCUAUUUUUAUGAAUGCAUGAACACUGGAAGUGAUUUAAAACUCAGCCUUCUCAAAUGGGGGGGGAGGGGGGAAAGAGGGAGGGAGAUUGCCGCCUCAAACAGCAACAGAAGAAGCCACCGAGGAACUUCCACCGAAUGUCCAAUUCAACCCCUCAAACAGCCUACUUCCAAAUAGCUUUGAAGAGACCAAACUUUUUAAAAGUUCUAAACUGUCCAACCAGCGCAAAGGGGGGCUUGUUUACGAGGCAGCAACAGGAACGGAGGGGAGGAGACUGUCGUCGCUUGGAAGUAGUAAAAGACCCUGAGAUUCCGGCCUUUAUGGCACAACAGUCGUCCUCUUUCCCCCCGCUCUCUUUCUUCCAAGCAUUUUGACCCUCCAGUCGUGAAAUAGCGUUAUUAUUUUGGUGUGCGCGCGUGUGUGCGCGCCCCCUUAGCUUUCUCGCACCCAUCCUACAAAAGUGCGAGGGGGAGGUGGGAGAGAGAGAGACCAAAUUGCAAAAUUGUUGGCUUGCCAAGUUUCAGUCACUUGGUGGCAGUAUACAAAACAAGUAAACAAAAAGAAAGCAGCAAUUAAAAGAAAGGGACGGUGGGGGAGAGAAAAAUAGGACCCCCUAUUUAAAAGGCUACGUAGAGAGAAAGGUGAGCGCGCGCAUAAGCUCAGGCAACGUCCGUGAUUGCUUAAAUCAAGAAGAACAUGGAAUGUAAAAAAUUGAACCCCGCUCUACCCGAACAACAUGAUAGACUAGGUAGUAAAGUCUCAUUAGUACCGGCGGAGUUUACUUUCAAGGGUUGACCACCGCCGUGGUCUUUUGCUGGAGGAAAACUCCGAUCCUCUCCACGUUUCAUGAAAUCCACUGCAGUUAAAACCAGCAGAACGUCUUUCCUAUUUACUGUACUACGUUUAAGAAGGUCUGGCUCGCCUUAUAGGCCUUUCUGUUUCGAUUUAAAUCCGGACGGUCUAAACUUAUUACCUGCUGUUAAUUUAUUGGGAAAACAGGAGGCGGCCUUGCGCCAAAGUUUGGGUCACUCUAAACGCAGUUCAGCUUGUGUCUAGUGGCAAACGCACAAAUCUCAUCGAAAUCAACGGCAGAAAAUCCAGUGGGUUUUCACGGAGCUGGAUUGCACCCGCUAAGUUUUAUUGCUUUGUGGGUUCCCUUUCUCACGACACGUUUAUUUUAUACAGUCAGGACAGCGGGGUGUACUGCACAACCUCACCCACAGCAACAGUAAAUUGCCCUGUGUUCAUUAGAUGAACCUCAAGAAACGCCAGUGGAUCCAGUAGAUCUGAUCAGGAAUUCCAGGAAUCAAAACUGUCACGUGCUUUCUCGUUUUUUUAAUCCUCUAUAUCCACAACUUCCCUCCACGGUACACGAACAGUUAUGCAGAACAGCAUAUAAAAUAUAAACACAGAACCGACUGCGCCCCCAGAUUUUCUGGCAUCCGACUGAAGAUAACCCAUCCUCAGGGCUGCACAUUUCAGUUCAACCAAAUAAGUGGAUGUGAUGCUGAAAUUAUGAUAUUUCGUUGCACUCUGCAAGAGACCUGUGUCUGCAAUGUUGAAAUGUACAUGCACGCACACAAACGCCCCAUAUCACAUAUGUACGUGAGACAUAUAAUAACAUAUUAUAUCACAUAUUAUAUAUUAGACCACGUAGUCUUUUGACUCACAGGUACCAUUCUUUCGUCCAUCAAUGUCUCUUUCCCCCCCCUCCCCCGCAUUUCCCCCUUCAAAUUGUAACUUUCUCUCCCUUUUGCUUCUGGGACGUGAUUUUAUUUUAUUUUUAACUUUGCCCUUAAGACCCAGUCUCCCCCCCCCCCCUUUUAUAUAUAUAAAAGCCUGUGUAAAGUUUUUGUUUAUUUCAGCCAGCCCCAUUUUUACAAAUAAAAAAUGCAUCACACAAAUGUAUGGACACGAUCCGGGGAAAGUGAGGAACGUUCAACACCUACUGAUUUCAAAGCCAGAGUUAAUUAAGCACGUGCGUAAAUAAUCUCUCAUUGUAACUCAUGGACCUUAAAUACGUUUGCCACUUAAGGGAAGGUCCGGAAAAUACCCGCAUCGCCAUAGGCCCAAGACAGCCUCUCAGUUCCGCAGGCCAAUACAGUGCAAAGCGUGCUAAAAUGUAAAAUGUAGGAAGCCAAGUCCCAGACGCAAUUAAAAUGAAAAUUAAAAACCAGAGGCACAUACAACAAAAUCAUUGAAAAGUGAAGUUCUCUCCCAACUCGCCCUAUCCUUUUCAUAAACAAGGUCAGGGCUUAGCAGCUGCUACUUUGCAGCCAGACCAUAAUUAUUCUAAGCAACGUGGCCGCCUACUUCGGCUAUUUUAUUUUAUGUUUAAAAACUUUGAACACUGAUUUAAGCAAUCCUAAUUGUACGUAUCCCCCCCAACUCUCAGCUGCUCAUGCGCACACCGCCAGCCUCCCUGCACUCUCUCCUAAAUGAAAUGUAAAUUGGUAUAUAUUACACGAUUUCAGGGUGCAUUAUUACGACAGUUACUGAAGUUGUCAUUAAAAAAAAAGUUUCUCUCAUUAUGUUUUUCCCUUUCCCACUCUCACCCCCAGCUCCAGCAGCUGCUUCCCUCCCUCCCCCCCGCCCCGUUUCUCUCUUUCUAUGUUGAAAAAUAGGCACAUAGAUAGUGGCGGUUGCUUUUAUUGUUGUUGAUACGGUUUUGCUGCUGUAAAGAAAUGUAUUAUUGAUAUUGCAGUUGUUGUAAAAUUGUAAUGUUCUUCCAAUUGUUUUUAUUAUGGCACUCGUUCCCCUUAAUAAAUAUAUAUGUGUGUGAUUUAUAUUACCGUGUCACAUUUGUGGUUUUCAAUUUUCACAUUUACUGCCCUGUUUAUGACACGCACCAAGGAUUAAAAGCUACGUGCGGGGGCCAACGUUAACUAUCACAGUAUCGGAUUUUGCUCCUGGAUGUAGUCUGUCUCUCCCCCCC